ensembl:lncRNA
AUCAGGGCUGGGUUUUUUUGAUCUGGGUAACUCCAGUUGCAUGAGAACUAGUGAUAAAAUGAGAGGAGAAGGGAGAACCUACGACCAAAGUGAGGAAAGAGAGAAGGGUGAAGAGAGUGGGCCGGUACAGUCCAUAAAUAGGUUUGCUUAAUGAAACUGCUCAUAGGAGUCCUCUUGCUAAACUGAGAGGUGAACUGUGUUUUUGGUGUUACAGAAGACCAAACAUCAGAAAAUUCCUUUUUUUUUUCUUUUUUACUUUAUUUACUUAUUUACUUUCUGAGUAAUAUACUGAGGAUUUGAAGCAGAGCCAUCAUACACGAAAAAUAAGGAAAAGUGGGUAAUAAUGGUAAUGGCAAGAUAGUUCACAGAGAUGUAGGCAGUACUCCCUAGUCAGUGUCUUUCCAUUAAACAUUAUUUGAGGGACAAAUGUUAAGAAUACACCUAGACCAAAAAUGAUCAAAAAUGUCUCGAAGUCUGGCUGGGAUGAAAACUCACAGAAAUAAAUUUACCAUUUUCCUUUUUUUUUACUCCUUCCAUCACUCUUCCCGCAAUUCCUACCUACCCAGUAGGGCUCAUGAAACCUGUGGUGCUGGAAACGGAGUGAUUCCAUGGAGUUAUGUCAGCAUGAAUGGCCUGUUUACAUCAGCAGGAAAGAGUAACUGCAUGGGCUGUUGAAAUAAGGAACUGCUUCUUGGAGCUGGAUUGCAUAUCAGUGACAAUCCUUAUUUUACUCUAACUUUUAUGAAGAGAUCCUUUGUUGAAACAUCAGGUCAGUUUAAAGCGAGAUUUAGAUACAUGCCCCCAAAAGAGCAUCUUCAUAAUUGGGCAAAAUGCUACGUUAAUAUUGUUUUAAUUAGUCAGUAAUUGUCAGCAGUUACUGUCACUAAGUUGAUCAAUAUUUGGCAACAAAUAUCAGCCACACAAAGUUGGUGCCUCUGAAAUUGCAGUGAUCCCUUUCAAUUUUAAAGUGCUUUCCACCCCCACCUAAAUUUUAUUCUGUAUGUAUGGAACAUUGGACCUUGUAGGCUAUCUGGAGGUGGAAUGUAACAGGCAUCUGACCUGAAAGACACUGCGUGGAAUGAAAAGAAGAAAAGUGAAAGCUGGUGUUACCUCUCGAGGUUCCCUAAUGUAUCUACAGUGUUACCAAAAGGUUCAGGAAGUUGCAUCUGUCAAGUGUGAAAUUCUUAAGCUCCAGAAAUGCCCAUUAAGAGAAUUAGGAAACACCUGGAGAUUUUCAUCCACCAGAACGCUCUCAUCUCUUCACCAUAUGCAAUAUAUGUAACCUAUGCACACAUUUUUUUUUCAGAAGUGUUUUAUUGCCUAUUUGUUCAAAUGCAAAUUUUAUAUUUUUGUCACUUUGGAGGCGUGAAAGCAAUACUUGUUCUGUAUUAACAAUACGUUUAUUCAUUUCCACUGGUAUGGUUUUUGGUCUUUGAAAGUGAAUGUUCUCUUGAAUGAAUCUAUGAUGACAUUACAUCCACUCUGUCCUAUGGUUUUAUAAAUACGAAAAUUAGAUGACAGCAAAAGGUUAAAAAUAGUGUAAAAUGAUUGAAUAAAUAAUAAUAAAUAAUAAAGCUUGUUUCUAUUUUGCUUUAAUUUGUAGCUUCAUCGAUCCUCAGGGCACAGAUGAAUUUAUAACAGCUGUGGAUGAGUAUUCAGGGCUGGGACCUGAGUGUUGUGUUCAGAGGGAUGUAUUGAAAGUUAAACAAACUCAACAGAGUCAUCUUAAGUACAUGAAUAUUUCUAGUGCAUUUUGCAGUUUAACAGCUUUGCUCCAAAAACAACACCAUAAGGUUAUACAAUGAGACACUCAAACAGCCAAGGGACACAGAAACACUGUCAAAAUCACUAGAGCGCAGUUACAGAGCACUUUUAAUGUAACAUGAGUAAUUGUAUAUAACAAUUGCCAAUAUCCACAAGCACUAACAAUGUCUCUAGUGCAGAAGGUGAAGGCGGCUGUGGCAGACUUUAAAUGAUGAUUAUCUUUUCCAAUAGUGCUUUGUUGGAAACUAGUAAGCUUGACAUUUCCCUUCAGCUGCUUCUCCUUUAUCUAUUGCAUUUGGCCUAGACCACUGGAAAUGAUUUAAUGGUGAGAAAUUUUGAAAAAUUACAAUAUUUUGAAUAUUCGUUGUUCUAGCUGGUGUUCUGUAAAUUUGGUCCUGGUUUACAAAUGUCUUCAGGGAUUUCUUUUAACAGAUAG